GGGAUGGGCUGCAGUCCAUCUCCGAUACUGCAGGUUCUCUGCUAAAUCAAUCAAGGGCACAGAAUGUGUUUUGUCAUCAAGAAUCAGGAAUGAGAGCGGAGGUCAGGGAAGUCGAGACAACCGGGUGCUUCGCUGAGCUAUUGUUUUCCAUGCAGGGAGACCAGCCAGCUCCCCUCCUUCCCAGAGAAAUCUGUGCUUAGCUUAAAAGAAACCAAAAUAGAUACAAAGUACUUUGCUUUUGUCUGAGCAUUAUUACUCUGUUUUUAGCAAAAUCCAAGCCACCCUCCUCUGCAGGUCAGAUGAUCUGUUGACAGGGAAGUGAGAGAGCGGGGGCGCGUCUCAGCCUCACCCUCACCUUCAGUCCAGGCUCCUGGGCAGGUACCUGGAAUUGAACUCAUGACCUUGCACUUGCCAGCAGGUUGGGACCGAUGGCCACAGGGGAUGAGCACACCAGCAGGCACCAAGGAAGCCAUCAGCAGAGCAGCUCCACAAGGGCAUCAACGCCGGGUGCCAGUGCGGUCAGAUUGCUGAUGCUUAGGCUGGAUCCCCGCCCCUAUGAAUUAUGCAUGCCAGCUGCCUUACCCUACACCAUUCAUUCUAAGGUAGAUAUCUGUCAGCUGGGAAGAAAUUUUUUUUAAUCAGAGGGAGCUGUCAAGAGUGAAUUUGAAGUCCUGCCUUCUUCCCUCAGAAUGGGCUCCCUCGUGGCGAUGAGGACUGGCAAGGAGUGCAGCCUCACAUCCCCAUGUUUAUGUUUACAUUUGAAUUUCUACACCUCUUUCUUUUCCUGCUCCUGAAAGAAGUGGGGAGGAACAGCAGGAAGAUGAAGAUUCUUUUCCCCAUGGCAGUGCCCUGGCUGCUUGCACAACAUCCCUGCCUUCCUCUUCUGCUGCCAUCACUGACUACCCCAGCCGUACUCCCAUAAACAAUAAAGGUUUAUCCAGCUCCUG